AGUACUGAACAUGGAAAGUGCCGUACAACUAUGGAAUCCUAAAUCUUCUCUGAGUCCCGGUCAACAUCACCCGCGAAUGGAGGAUUUGCAGAAGUUCUGCAGCAUGAUAGCCGGAGAUGCGAUCUUUCCUCUUUAUCUUCUUCUUCAUCUCCACUACCCGAAUCUGCAGUUAAUCUGAUCCAGAAACACACGAGGCACCAGAAAUUUGAUGUCGUACGAUGGAUCUCGCGCUCUAGCCGCCAGAUCUUCGAGGGCAAGAAGAAGAAUCAAGAGGUGUUCUUUAUUUUCGGUGGAUGAAUUAGGACAUAUGCCUUGAAUUCCCAAUGGCACACUCUUUGGAUGAGGGAAUUGGUCAUAGAUUUUUGGGGUUUUUUUUUUCAGAAAUCACCCAUUUGGGUCGCAUUGAUUUUGUUGUUCUCGUCUUUCAAUCAACAUACCUUCUUGUUUUUGGAUGUUUUUGUUAUCAAAAUAGAUCUAUCGUCUCUCCUGAAAGCCAUAAGUGUAUGUAUUAUUUGUAUAAUGAUUUAUCUCGUUCUUUUCAUGCCCUUUGGCAAACUAUA